rnacentral:rRNA from 1 species
CGUAGGGUGCGAGCGUUAAUCGGAAUUACUGGGCGUAAAGCGUGCGCAGGCGGUUUUGUAAGCCAGAUGUGAAAUCCCCGGGCUUAACCUGGGAAUGGCAUUUGGGACUGCAAGGCUUGAGUGCGGCAGAGGAGACUGGAAUUCCCGGUGUAGCAGUGAAAUGCGUAGAUAUCGGGAGGAAUACCGAUGGCGAAGGCAGGUCUCUGGGCUGACACUGACGCUCAUGCACGAAAGCGUGGGGAGCAAACAGGAUUAGAUACCCUGGUAGUCUACGCCCUAAACGAUGUCGACUGGUUGUUGGGGGUUUGACACUCUCAGUAACGAAGCUAACGCGUGAAGUCGACCGCCUGGGGAGUACGGCCGCAAGGUUA